CGGCCGCUUGGUCUAUUGUCCUGC
rnacentral:siRNA from 1 species